rnacentral:pre_miRNA from 13 species
AUUAAAGGCAUCACUCGACGAAUCUGUCGUGGUACGAGUUCCAGGUGGGCUAUGCCUACCUGGAACUCGUACCACGACAGAUUCGUCGAGUGAUGCCUAGAUA